rnacentral:piRNA from 1 species
CAUUUUUUUAUCAUGUGUGCA